UACGUAGGUGGCAAGCGUUAUCCGGAAUUAUUGGGCGUAAAGAGCGCGCAGGUGGUUAAUUAAGUCUGAUGUGAAAGCCCACGGCUUAACCGUGGAGGGUCAUUGGAAACUGGUUGACUUGAGUGCAGAAGAGGGAAGUGGAAUUCCAUGUGUAGCGGUGAAAUGCGUAGAGAUAUGGAGGAACACCAGUGGCGAAGGCGGCUUCCUGGUCUGCAACCGACACUGAGGCGCGAAAGCGUGGGGAGCAAACAGG
rnacentral:rRNA from 1 species